rnacentral:rRNA from 1 species
UACCAGCACCCCGAGUGGUCGGGACGUUUAUUGGGCCUAAAGCAUCCGUAGCCGGUUCUACAAGUCUUCCGUUAAAUCCACCUGCUUAACAGACUGGGCUGCGGAAGAUACUAUAGAGCUAGGAGGCGGGAGAGGCAAGCGGUACUCGAUGGGUAGGGGUAAAAUCCGUUGAUCCAUUGAAGACCACCAGUGGCGAAGGCGGCUUGCCAGAACGCGCUCGACGGUGAGGGAUGAAAGCUGGGGGAGCAAACCGGG